GACGAACGCUGGCGGCGUGCUUAACACAUGCAAGUCGAGCGGUAAGGCCCGUUUCGGGGGUACACGAGCGGCGAACGGGUGAGUAACACGUGGGUGACCUGCCCUCAGCUCUGGGAUAAGCCUGGGAAACCGGGUCUAAUACCGGAUAUGACUCCAUGACGCAUGUUGUGGGGUGGAAAGCCUUGUGCGGCUGAGGAUGGGCCCGCGGCCUAUCAGCUUGUUGGUGGGGUGAUGGCCUACCAAGGCGGACGACGGUAGCCGGCCUGAGAGGGCGACCGGCCACACUGGGACUGAGACACGGCCCAGACUCCUACGGGAGGCAGCAGUGGGGAAUAUUGGACAAUGGGCGCAAGCCUGAUCCAGCGAUGCCGCGUGUGUGAAGAAGGCCUGCGGG
rnacentral:rRNA from 1 species